GAUUAACGCUGGCGGCGUGCCUAACACAUGCAAGUCGAACGAUCAAACUCAUUAGAUUUCUUUGGAAUGAUAAUGACUGGCUUAGUGGCGACCGGGUGAGUAACUCGUGAGUAACCUGCCUUACACAAGGGGAUAGCCUCCGGAAACGGAGAAUAAUACCCUAUGAAACGAGACAAUCGCAUGAUAAUCUGUUCAAAAUGUUUAGUGGUGUAAGAUGGACUUGCGUCUGAUUAGCUAGUUUGUGAGAUAAACGCUCACCCAGGGAACAAGCAGUAUCCGGAUUGAGAGAGUGUACGGCCACAUUGGGGGUGAGACACGUACCAGACUCCUCCGGGAGGGAGCAGUGGGGAAUUUGGAACAAUGGGGGAAAGACUGAGGCCUCGACGCCGCAAAAUUUUGUAGGCCUGCGAGUUGUAAAAAUCUUUUGUAUAGGAAGAAAAUGACAGUACUAUACGAGUAAGGUCCGGCUAAUUACGUG
rnacentral:rRNA from 1 species